rnacentral:rRNA from 1 species
GACGAACCGUACGAACGUUAUUCGGAAUCACUGGGCUUAAAGGGUGCGUAGGCGGCGCAGAAAGUUGGGUGUGAAAUCCCUCGGCUCAACCGAGGAACUGCGCCCAAAACUACUGUGCUCGAGGGAGACAGAGGUGAGCGGAACUUAGGGUGGAGCGGUGAAAUGCGUUGAUAUCCUAAGGAACACCGGUGGCGAAAGCGGCUCACUGGGUCUCUUCUGACGCUGAGGCACGAAAGCUAGGGUAGCGAACGGG